CCAGGCUGUUGUCGGUGACACCAGGCUAAGAACAACACCGGGGACCUCCUGGGCCCGUGCUGUGCCCUAUGAGCCCCACAGACCAUCCCCAUCUGCAGCCUGUGGACCAGCCCUUGUGGCCCUGCUUAGGAUCACAGGAUACCCUGCAGCAGAGCAUGCUGGGAGAGCACUCGGGACCCCACACUCGGUCUUGGGGCUCCCACAUCUGGCAGGCAGAGCGCUGGCCCCUGACCAUGAGAUGCUGGGUAGGGGCAGAGAGCAGGUGCAGCAGGAGGGCUUCCUAGGGGUGGUGAAGUUGGGCUUUGGGACUCCACCCACCUCCCAGUGGGGGAAGGCGGUUGAGGUAGGUGUUGGAGUCUGGGCGUUGGGCCGUGUACGGGGGGCCCGAGUUCUAGCUCAGUGCCGAGGGCAGCAGGAGUGCAGGCCUGGGAGGUGGGCUGCAGCUACGAUGGGGGCCGCCGUCUCCUGGGGUCCAGGGCCUUAGCUUGGUGCCCACCGGAGCCAAGGUGGCCCGAUGCAGAACCGAGAGCUGCUUACAGGUGCCGGAAGGAGUUCUACCAGAGGGUAGGAUUUUCUUGGGUUCAGGUUUUUCUCCCUUUUGCUCAGGCGUGGUCAGCCUUAGUGGGUCAGGGGGCAUGUAAGGGGGUAUGAGGCCACUUGUCAUGUGCCAUGGGUUGUCACAUGGAUUCUUAGCUAUCAGUGGAGCAAAUCACCUGUGCUUGGGGGCUCCGUCGCUCCACUGUAUUCUUGUUCGUGGCUGGCAGCUCUCUGGUCCAUGAGGAGCGGCGGCUGUCGUCCUCUGCGGGCUGGGCUGGUUGGACCUCACCAUCUAGAAUUUCUCUGCCCUGUCUGGCGCCUUGGGAUGGCCAGGCCAGCUGGGCCACUCACGCUCCAUGUGGCUUUUCCAUGUGGCCAUUGGAGCAGAAUGGCCUUAUCUCUUUCCCGGCAACUCAGGGCUCGUCAAAGGGCAGAGCUAAAGGCACCAGACCUCCCGGCUCAGGCCGAGAUCCAGGCCAGCAUCUCUUCUGGGGCAUUCUCUGGAAUCUGUGGAGUCCCAGGCUAGUUUGUGGAGAAUAAACAUUCAGUGAGCACCGACCGCGUGGCGGACAUUGUAGGUGCUGGAGACUAACCUUGAACAGAACAAGCGUCUCCUCCCCUCCCCCUGCCCCCUGCCCACGCCAUGGAGAAGAGCAGAUAGCGAGUGCAAAGGCCCUGAGGCAGAAGUGUGUUCCAGACACAGGAAGUAUGGAGCCAGUGCGGAGGGGUUGGUGGCAGAGAACUGAUUCGCGAUUCCUCAGGAAAAGCACAUCCAAGGACAAAAGGGAUCUUCCUGGAUCUUUCUUCUGUUCUCGCCACCGUGUGACAGUUCCACCUCGGUGGAGUUCUUUGGGUUACGCGAUGGGAGUUCGUUUGUUCAAAACACAUUUGUUGUAGAUGAAUGUUCCCGGCCAGACAAUGGCACCCAGCCUCAAGGUCCCUCAACGGGUGAACGGAUAAAUGAUAAACAGGGCGCGUCCGCACCGCGGGGUGUUGUUCAGCCAGAGGAGGGACGCCCUGACCUGUGACAACGCGGGGGAGCCUUAAAUACCGUGCUGAGUGAAAGAGGCAGAAAAUCGGAUAUUGUGGGAUCCUGUUCAUAGGCGAUGUCCAGAGUAGGAAAUUUGGACACACAGGGUGCACUGUGUACGCAGACGCAAACCAUCUGCCAGCCAAGGAGAGAGGCUUCAGAGGGGACCAGCCCUGCCGGUGCCUUGACCUUGGACUUCCAGCCUCCAGAACUGUGAGGAAAAAAAGUGUUUAAGCCCCGAGGUGGGGGGUAUUUUGUUACAGUCGCCCUCGCAGGCCAAAAUGUACAUUAUAUCUCAAAAGCUGUUGUAAAGAG